ensembl:snRNA U6 U6 spliceosomal RNA
GUUCUCACUGUGGUAGCACCUAUACUAAAAUUGAAAUGAUAUGAAGAAGAUUAGCGUGCCCUCUGCAAAAAUGGCAUGCAAAUUUGUGAAGCAUUCCAUAUUUUA